rnacentral:rRNA from 1 species
UGCAGUCGAGCGGGCGAGGUUGCUUCGGUAACUGAGCUAGCGGCGGACGGGUGAGUAAUGCUUAGGAAUCUGCCUAUUAGUGGGGGACAACAUUCCGAAAGGAAUGCUAAUACCGCAUACGUCCUACGGGAGAAAGCAGGGGAUCUUCGGACCUUGCGCUAAUAGAUGAGCCUAAGUCAGAUUAGCUAGUUGGUGGGGUAAAGGCCUACCAAGGCGACGAUCUGUAGCGGGUCUGAGAGGAUGAUCCGCCACACUGGGACUGAGACACGGCCCAGACUCCUACGGGAGGCAGCAGUGGGGAAUAUUGGACAAUGGGCGGAAGCCUGAUCCAGCCAUGCCGCGUGUGUGAAGAAGGCCUUUUGGUUGUAAAGCACUUUAAGCGAGGAGGAGGCUACCUGGAUUAAUACUCUAGGAUAGUGGACGUUACUCGCAGAAUAAGCACCGGCUAACUCUGUGCCAGCAGCCGCGGUAAUACAGAGGGUGCGAGCGUUAAUCGGAUUUACUGGGCGUAAAGCGUGCGUAGGCGGCUUUUUAAGUCGGAUGUGAAAUCCCUGAGCUUAACUUAGGAAUUGCAUUCGAUACUGGGAAGCUAGAGUAUGGGAGAGGAUGGUAGAAUUCCAGGUGUAGCGGUGAAAUGCGUAGAGAUCUGGAGGAAUACCGAUGGCGAAGGCAGCCAUCUGGCCUAAUACUGACGCUGAGGUACGAAAGCAUGGGGAGCAAACAGGAUUAGAUACCCUGGUAGUCCAUGCCGUAAACGAUGUCUACUAGCCGUUGGGGCCUUUGAGGCUUUAGUGGCGCAG